rnacentral:pre_miRNA from 1 species
UACCCCACUCAGUAAGGCAUUGUUCUUCUAUGCUUAUAUACUGAACAGUGCCUUUCUGUGUAGAGUA